rnacentral:rRNA from 1 species
UAGCGUAUAUUAAAGUUGUUGCAGUUAAAAAGCUCGUAGUUGGAUUUCUGGGAGGGUGGCGAUGUCCGCUUAACGUGUGUGCAGCGGCGCCCUUCCAUCCUUCUGUUAGCGUCUCUUGGCAUUCAUUUGCUGGUGGCGGGCUCAGAUAUUUUACCUUGAGAAAAUUAGAGUGUUUCAGGCAGGCUAGGCCGGAAUACAUUAGCAUGGAAUAAUGGAAUAGGACUACGGUCUCUUUGUUGGUUUGAGGGACUGCAGUAAUGAUUAAUAGGGAUAGUUGGGGGCAUUAGUAUUUAAUUGUCAGGGGUGAAAUUCUCAGAUUUGUUAAAGACUAACUUAUGCGAAAGCAUUUGCCAAGGAUGUUUUCAUUAAUCAAGAACGAAAGUUAGGGGAUCAAAGACGAUCAGAUACCGUCCUAGUCUUAACCAUAAACUAUGCCGACUCGGGAUCGGGGGCGUGUUCUAUCCGCCUUCGGCACCGUAUGAGAAAUCAAAGUCUUUGGGUUCCGGGGGGAGUAUGGUCGCAAGGCUGAAACUUAAAGGAAUUGACGGA